AGCAGCCGCGGUAAUUCCAGCUCCAAUAGCGUAUAUUAAAGUUGUUGCAGUUAAAAAGCUCGUAGUUGAACUUCAGGCCUGGGUGGGCGGUCUGCCUCACGGUAUGUACUGUCUGCCUGGGUCUUACUUCUUGGUGAGCCGGCAUGCCCUUCACUGGGUGUGUCGGGGAACCAGGACUUUUACCUUGAGAAAAU
rnacentral:rRNA from 1 species